rnacentral:rRNA from 1 species
UGGGGAAUAUUGCACAAUGGGCGAAAGCCUGAUGCAGCAACGCCGCGUGAGUGAUGAAGGCCUUCGGGUUGUAAAGCUCUGUCUUUUGGGACGAUAAUGACGGUACCAAAGGAGGAAGCCACGGCUAACUACGUGCCAGCAGCCGCGGUAAUACGUAGGUGGCAAGCGUUGUCCGGAUUUACUGGGCGUAAAGGAUGCGUAGGCGGAUUUUUAAGUGAGAUGUGAAAUACCCGGGCUUAACUUGGGUGCUGCAUUUCAAACUGGGAAUCUAGAGUGCGGGAGAGGAGAAUGGAAUUCCUAGUGUAGCGGUGAAAUGCGUAGAGAUUAGGAAGAACACCAGUGGCGAAGGCGAUUCUCUGGACCGUAACUGACGCUGAGGCAUGAAAGCGUGGGUAGCAAACAGGAUUAGAUACCCUGGUAUCCACGCCGUAAACGAUGAGUACUAGGUGUAGGAGGUAUCGACCCCUUCUGUGCCGCAGUUAACACAAUAAGUACUCCGCCUGGGAAGUACGAUCGCAAGAUU